rnacentral:rRNA from 1 species
CCCUUAGAUGGUCUGGGCGACACGCGCGCUACAAUGAUGCAUUCAAAAAGUCUUCUGACCUUAGAAGGUUGGGUAUUCUCCAAAGUGCAUCGUGAUGGGAAUAGUUUAUUGCAAUUUUUAAUCUUGAACGAGGAAUUCCUAGUAAGUACAGGUCAUCAACUUGUGUUGAUUACGUCCCUGCCCUUUGUACACACCGCCCGUCGCUCCUACUGAUUGAGUGUCUCGGUGAAUUCUUUGAUCUUCUGUCGAUUCAGUUCACUGAUCCGACGGUGGAAAGUUGAAUGAACUUCGUCACUUAGAGGAAGGAGAAGUCGUAACA